GGAAAGGCGCGCGAUACAGGGUGACAGCCCCGUACACAAAAAUGCACAUGCUGUGAGCUCGAUGAGUAGGGCGGGACACGUGGUAUCCUGUCUGAAUAUGGGGGGACCAUCCUCCAAGGCUAAAUACUCCUGACUGACCGAUAGUGAACCAGUACCGUGAGGGAAAGGCGAAAAGAACCCCGGCGAGGGGAGUGAAAAAGAACCUGAAACCGUGUACGUACAAGCAGUGGGAGCACGCUUAGGCGUGUGACUGCGUACCUUUUGUAUAAUGGGUCAGCGACUUAUAUUCUGUAGCAAGGUUAACCGAAUAGGGGAGCCGAAGGGAAACCGAGUCUUAACUGGGCGUUAAGUUGCAGGGUAUAGACCCGAAACCCGGUGAUCUAGCCAUGGGCAGGUUGAAGGUUGGGUAACACUAACUGGAGGACCGAACCGACUAAUGUUGAAAAAUUAGCGGAUGACUUGUGGCUGGGGGUGAAAGGCCAAUCAAACCGGGAGAUAGCUGGUUCUCCCCGAAAGCUAUUUAGGUAGCGCCUCGUGAAUUCAUCUCCGGGGGUAGAGCACUGUUUCGGCAAGGGGGUCAUCCCGACUUACCAACCCGAUGCAAACUGCGAAUACCGGAGAAUGUUAUCACGGGAGACACACGGCGGGUGCUAACGUCCGUCGUGAAGAGGGAAACAACCCAGACCGCCAGCUAAGGUCCCAAAGUCAUGGUUAAGUGGGAAACGAUGUGGGAAGGCCCAGACAGCCAGGAUGUUGGCUUAGAAGCAGCCAUCAUUUAAAGAAAGCGUAAUAGCUCACUGGUCGAGUCGGCCUGCGCGGAAGAUGUAACGGGGCUAAACCAUGCACCGAAGCUGCGGCAGCGACGCUGAUGCGUUGUUGGGUAGGGGAGCGUUCUGUAAGCCUGCGAAGGUGUGCUGUGAGGCAUGCUGGAGGUAUCAGAAGUGCGAAUGCUGACAUAAGUAACGAUAAAGCGGGUGAAAAGCCCGCUCGCCGGAAGACCAAGGGUUCCUGUCCAACGUUAAUCGGGGCAGGGUGAGUCGACCCCUAAGGCGAGGCCGAAAGGCGUAGUCGAUGGGAAACAGGUUAAUAUUCCUGUACUUGGUGUUACUGCGAAGGGGGGACG
rnacentral:rRNA from 1 species